AUUGAACGCUGGCGGCAGGCUUAACACAUGCAAGUCGAACGAGUGGCGGACGGGUGAGUAAUGCUUGGGAAUCUGGCUUAUGGAGGGGGAUAACGACGGGAAACUGUCGCUAAUACCGCGUACCAUAGGAUGAGCCCAUGUGGGAUAAGGUAGUUGGGGGGGUAAUGGCCUACCAAGCCGACGAUCUCUAGCUGGUCUGAGAGGAUGACCAGCCACACGGGGACGGAGACACGGCCCGGACUCCUACGGGAGGGAGCAGUGGGGAAGAUUGCGCAAUGGGGGCAAACUGACGCAGCGAUGCGGCGCGAAUGAAGAAGGCCUUCGGGGUGGAAAGUAGUUCCGGUGAUGAGGCGGUAAUCAUAUAAGAAGCACCGGCUAACUACGUGCCAGCAGCCGCGGUAAUAC
rnacentral:rRNA from 1 species